CCUGCCUUGCCCAACUCACAGGGCAAUGGAAAAGACAGACACAAUGAGCUGGGGUCAGCACCUGUGAAUGUGACCUGCUUUGGAACAUGGGUCUUCGUGAGUGAAAUUAAGGAUGCCAAGAAUUUAUUCUCGGUACGAACAGCCUAAGAUGCACUGGACUUGGGGAUACUGGUCUGAGAAUGAGGUCAGACUGAAGACUCGUGAACAGUGAAAGCCCAGUCCCUUCUGCCUCGGGUCCUGAACCACAGAAAGCCCAACAUACACGCAACUGCCCCAUCCCACCCCAGCAGGAGACUGGACAAGUCUUCCUUGGAGAAACUAGAGGCACCGAAGACCUCCAGGGGACCCUCUGAUAAGCAGGCCAGCUUGCACCCAAUCAUUUGACAGCAGUACCACCCAUGCAUCAGUGAGCUCCAUACCCACAUUCAUAAAUAUGCCCCAUUAGCCAAGGGGGCCUCGACAUUUUAGGAAAGCCACCAACAUGAAAGAGACCAAAACAUGCAAAUAGAUGCUAAAAACCUAGAGGAUACACAGUCAAUGCAGGAAAUACAAAAACAUUGGAGGGGAGGGAACAGUAAUUUAUAUCCUCAGAAAUAUAUGAAAAGAUAACUGAAUUCAUGGAACAAAAAGGGACACUCUGACUUCCCAUGACUUCUUGUCUUUCCCUGGCCUUCUUCGCUCCAGCCACUCCUGGACAGCUGCACCUGCCCCACUUCUCCCCUCAUAGGAGAUGUUACCUCAAUUCA